rnacentral:lncRNA from 1 species
AUGCUACCACCCGUAUGGGUGAGACCCAUAAAGGUCCUGGGUAGGUCAGUCCCAGCAGGGGGCUGCUGUCAGCCUGCAGCGAGGGAGGCGGUUAAUGGUCUUGUGCCAGCUCUCCCAGGGACCUGCUCCUGGACUGCAGGGAGAUGGCUCUUCCUUAAAGGCAUACGGCCUUUGGUGACACAGCUACCAUGGAACCGCAGGAAAGGAGAGCUGGAGGGGACUUUAAAAGCAGACAUGAAGAACAGAUUAUUCGCUCCCUCUGCUGUUGCCCUUUCUGUGUUUGAGGACUUUCAUUACGUCUUCCCUCGGUCUCCUCGGGGUCAGACCGAAGGCUCCCGGUACCGGCAGCCGGUGCUGCGGGACGGGCUCGGCUCCGGCAGCGGAGAUGGGCGAAGCGGCACCGGCCGUGCUUGCAGGCGCGGCUGGGAUCUGCCCCACGUGUCCGCCUGGUCAAGCACAGCCUGUGGGCGUCCUCCAGGCAACCCAGAGCUGCGUGCUGCAGCCUCCUGAGAGAGCCGACGCUUUUGGGGUCCCAGUCACGUCUACGAUCCCUGUGCUGCACACAACAGUGACAAAAUGCAAAGCUCGGGCACUCCCCUGGGCUUUCACUGAGGGACCUGGUGGCUGCUGAUAGCACCGAGCAACCUCGCAACCCCAGGCAGCGCUCAGCGCAGAGGGAAGGCAGCACCUCCGGAACCGCGGCAGCUGCUGCCUGCAGCCUCUCGCCCGCGUUAUCGGCCUCCUGCAAGCACUGGGGGGGGGUUUCAGCCUGGGCAGGCCCGAGGAAGGGGGCUCUGGUGCUGGACCUGUGCACGCAGCCGUGAGCAGGUAGGAGCAGCGUGAGCUGGCUGUGGCAGAUGUUCUUGCCAGAUAGAAGAAAGCACAGGCUGCCUCCAUCCUUGGCUCUGCUACUGCAGGAAACAAACUUUCACUUAAGCGGUGACUGCAUCCAGGAUUUAAUUAGCUCCGGCUGGCAAGCCCAGCCCUGAUAAGAUCAGACUGAAGGGAGAUUGGCAUUUCUAUCCUAAACAGCACCACGUUGGGAAGGCCUCUGCGGCUUAGAUGUGUGCAGGGAGCCAGCAGGGUCAGGAGCAUGAGUGCCCAUCCUCCCGCCCCGCUGGCAUUCCCACACUUAUCUGGGGUGGUUUUAAGCCUGUUUUUUUUUUUAGCUCUGACCCUUUUCAGCUGAUGCUCCCCAGUGCUGAGCUGUGGCAGCAGGGAGGAGCGUGCCCUGCCCUCCGUGCAGCCUGCGCCUCCUUGGGCUGAGCCAAGCCCCAGCCUGGGCGCUGAGCUCGCCGCCCCCCUGCACCCUGCCUGGCUCCUGUUCUGCCUCCCCUGCCGCGGGGCUGAGCAGCGCCUUCGCAGCCCCUUCGCAGCCCCUCAGGUGCCUGUGGCCAGGCAGGCUCCGGGCUCUGCUCUGAGCCUCUUUGCCCAGGGGCUGCAGGGGCUCCUGUCCCUGCCGGGGUACGGACGUGCCCUUUCCAGCUGCUGGCCUGGGGACCAGCCCCAG